rnacentral:tRNA from 1 species
GUAUUUUGCAAGCUGAGGAAACCUCUGGAAGACUAUCGAGCCGCCUUUGCACGGCGGAGGCCAGGGGUUCGAGUCCCCUCGGCUCCA